AGGAUGAACGCUAGCGGCAGGCUUAAUACAUGCAAGUCGUGGGGCAGCGCGGGUAGCAAUACAUGGGUGGCGACCGGCAAACGGGUGCGGAACACGUACGCAACCUUCCUUUAACUGGAGAAUAGCCCGGGGAAACCCGGAUUAAUACUCCGUAACAUUAUGAAGUGGCAUCACUUUAUAAUUAUAGCUCCGGCGGUUGAAGAUGGGCGUGCGUCUGAUUAGGUAGUUGGCGGGUAACGGCCCACCAAGCCUACGAUCAGUAACUGGUGUGAGAGCACGACCAGUCACACGGGCACUGAGACACGGGCCCGACUCCUACGGGAGGCAGCAGUAAGGAAUAUUGGUCAAUGGACGCAAGUCUGAACCAGCCAUGCCGCGUGGAGGAUGAAGGUCCUCUGGAUUGUAAACUUCUUUUAUUUGGGAAGAAACCCCCGAUUUCUAUUGGGGUUGACGGUACCAGAUGAAUAAGCACCGGCUAACUCCGCGCCAGCAGCCGCGGU
rnacentral:rRNA from 1 species